rnacentral:rRNA from 1 species
UAGGUAGGAGCCGAUGAGACCGGAACGCUAGUUUCGGAGGAGGCGCUGGUGGGAUACUACCCUUGUGUUAUGAACCCUCUAACCCGCACCACUAAUCGUGGUGGGAGACAGUGUCAGAUGGGCAGUUUGACUGGGGCGGUCGCCUCCUAAAAGGUAACGGAGGCGCCCAAAGGUUCCCUCAGAAUGGUUGGAAAUCAUUCGAAGAGUGUAAAGGCAGAAGGGAGCUUGACUGCGAGACCUACAAGUCGAGCAGGGACGAAAGUCGGGCUUAGUGAUCCGGUGGUUCCGCAUGGAAGGGCCAUCGCUCAACGGAUAAAAGCUACCCUGGGGAUAACAGGCUUAUCUCCCCCAAGAGUCCACAUCGACGGGG